rnacentral:rRNA from 1 species
UGGUCCCUACGGGGGGCAGCAGUGGGGGAUAUUGCACAAUGGGGGGAACCCCGAUGCAGCGACGCCGCGUGGGUGAAGGAGCGUUUCGGCGCGUAAAGCCCUAUCGGCAGGGAAGAAGGAGGACGGUACCUGACUAAGAAGCCCCGGCUAACUACGUGCCAGCAGCCGCGGUAAUACGUAGGGGGCAAGCGUUAUCCGGAUUUACUGGGUGUAAAGGGGGGGCAGACGGCAGCGCAAGGCAGGAGUGAAAGCCCGGGGCCCAACACCGGGAGUGCUCUUGGAAGUGCGCGGCUGGAGUGGAGGAG